rnacentral:rRNA from 1 species
UACGUAGGGGACUAGCGUUGUUCGGAAUUACUGGGCGUAAAGCGCACGUAGGCGGAUUUGUAAGUCAGGGGUGAAAUCCCGGGGCUCAACCUCGGAACUGCCCUUGAUACUGCAAAUCUCGAGUCCGAUAGAGGUGGGUGGAAUUCCUAGUGUAGAGGUGAAAUUCGUAGAUAUUAGGAAGAACACCGGUGGCGAAGGCGGCCCACUGGAUCGGUACUGACGCUGAGGUGCGAAAGCGUGGGGAGCAAACAGG